GACGAACGCUGGCGGCGUGCCUAAUACAUGCAAGUAGAACGCUGAAGAGAGGAGCUUGCUCUUCUUGGAUGAGUUGCGAACGGGUGAGUAACGCGUAGGUAACCUGCCUUGUAGCGGGGGAUAACUAUUGGAAACGAUAGCUAAUACCGCAUAACAAUGGAUGACACAUGUCAUUUAUUUGAAAGGGGCAAUUGCUCCACUACAAGAUGGACCUGCGUUGUAUUAGCUAGUAGGUGAGGUAACGGCUCACCUAGGCGACGAUACAUAGCCGACCUGAGAGGGUGAUCGGCCACACUGGGACUGAGACACGGCCCAGACUCCUACGGGAGGCAGCAGUAGGGAAUCUUCGGCAAUGGGGGCAAGCCUGACCGAGCAACGCCGCGUGAGUGAAGAAGGUUUUCGGAUCGUAAAGCUCUGUUGUAAGUCAAGAACGAGUGUGAGAGUGGAAAGUUCACACUGUGACGGUAGCUUACCAGAAAGGGACGGCUAACUACGUGCCAGCAGCCGCGGUAAUACGUAGGUCCCGAGCGUUGUCCGGAUUUAUUGGGCGUAAAGCGAGCGCAGGCGGUUUGAUAAGUCUGAAGUUAAAGGCUGUGGCUCAACCAUAGUUCGCUUUGGAAACUGUCAAACUUGAGUGCAGAAGGGGAGAGUGGAAUCCCAUGUGUAGCGGUGAAAUGCGUAGAUAUAUGGAGGAACACCGGUGGCGAAAGCGGCUCUCUGGUCUGUAACUGACGCUGAGGCUCGAAAGCGUGGGGAGCGAACAGGAUUAGAUACCCUGGUAGUCCACGCCGUAAACGAUGAGUGCUAGGUGUUGGAUCCUUUCCGGGAUUCAGUGCCGCAGCUAACGCAUUAAGCACUCCGCCUGGGGAGUACGACCGCAAGGUUGAAACUCAAAGGAAUUGACGGGGGCCCGCACAAGCGGUGGAGCAUGUGGUUUAAUUCGAAGCAACGCGAAGAACCUUACCAGGUCUUGACAUCCCGAUGCUAUUUCUAGAGAUAGAAAGUUACUUCGGUACAUCGGUGACAGGUGGUGCAUGGUUGUCGUCUGCUCGUGUCGUGAGAUGUUGGGUUAAGUCCCGCAACGAGCGCAACCCCUAUUGUUAGUUGCCAUCAUUCAGUUGGGCACUCUAGCGAGACUGCCGGUAAUAAACCGGAGGAAGGUGGGGAUGACGUCAAAUCAUCAUGCCCCUUAUGACCUGGGCUACACACGUGCUACAAUGGUUGGUACAACGAGUUGCGAGUCGGUGACGGCAAGCUAAUCUCUUAAAGCCAAUCUCAGUUCGGAUUGUAGGCUGCAACUCGCCUACAUGAAGUCGGAAUCGCUAGUAAUCGCGGAUCAGCACGCCGCGGUGAAUACGUUCCCGGGCCU
rnacentral:rRNA from 1 species